AAAUGAUUGAAGUUUACUUUGGUCAUUUUAGUGGCGGACGGGUGAGUAACACGUGAGCAACCUGCCUUUCAGAGGGGGAUAACGUUUGGAAACGAACGCUAAUACCGCAUAACGUAUACGGAUGGCAUCGUCUGUAUACCAAAGGAGGAAUCCGCUGAAAGAUGGGCUCGCGUCCGAUUAGCUAGAUGGUGAGGUAACGGCCCACCAUGGCGACGAUCGGUAGCCGGACUGAGAGGUUGACCGGCCACAUUGGGACUGAGACACGGCCCAGACUCCUACGGGAGGCAGCAGUGAGGGAUAUUGGGCAAUGGGGGCAACCCUGACCCAGCGACGCCGCGUGAGGGAAGACGGUCUUCGGAUUGUAAACCUCUGUCUUUGGGGACGAAAAAGGACGGUACCCAAGGAGGAAGCUCCGGCUAACUACGUGCCAGCAGCCGCGGUAAUACGUAGGGAGCGAGCGUUGUCCGGAAUUACUGGGUGUAAAGGGAGCGUAGGCGGGAAGGC
rnacentral:rRNA from 1 species